CCCGCUGAACUUAAGCAUAUCAAUAAGCGGAGGAAAAGAAACUAACAAGAAUUCCCCUAGUAACUGCGAGUGAAGCGGGAAAAGCUCAAAUUUAAAAUCUGGCAGCCAUUUUACGGUUGUCCGAGUUGUAAUCUAGAGAAGUGCUUUCCGCGCUGGACCGUGUACAAGUCUCUUGGAAUAGAGCAUCAUAGAGGGUGAGAAUCCCGUCUUUGACACGGACUACCAGUGCUUUAUGUGAUGCGCUCUNCAAGAGUCGAGUUGUUUGGGAAUGCAGCUCAAAAUGGGUGGUAAAUUCCAUCUAAAGCUAAAUAUUGGCGAGAGACCGAUAGCGAACAAGUACCGUGAGGGAAAGAUGAAAAAAGAACUUUGGAAAAGAGAGUUAAAACAGUACGUGGAAAAUUGUUGAAAAGGGAAAACGCUUGAAAGUCAGUCACGUUGGCCAGAAAUCAACUUGUAACAGGGCGUAAUUUCUGGUUUUACGGGUCAACAUCAAUUUUGAUUGUUGGAUAAAAGUCAAUAUUUAUGCGUUUUCGGACGUGUAGCCUUUGAUUGCAUACAAUGGUUGGGAUUGAGGAACUCAGCACGCCGCAAGGCCGGGUAACUUGUUACCACGUAACGUGCUUAGGAUGUUGGCAUAAUGGCUUUAAUCGACCCGUCUUGAAACACGG
rnacentral:rRNA from 1 species